rnacentral:RNase_P_RNA from 1 species
AUACUCGGGUAAUCGCUGUAUGGUGUAAAGCUGUACAGAGGAAAGUCCAUGCUCGCACAAACUGAGAUGUUUGUAGUGUUCGUGCCUGACGAAACCAUAAGUCAGGGUAGUCAAUAGACUAACGGCAGGGAAAGUACCUAAGUCCUUGAUUGGAUAAGGUAUAAAUACCUUGAAAGUGCCACAGUGACGUAGUCAAAACAGAAAUGUUUUGGGUGGAACGAGGUAAACCCCUCGAGCGAGCAACCCAAAUUAAGGUAGGGGCACUCUUUGACGGGAAUUCAACCAGUAAAGAGGCUGAUUCAUCAGCAGAUAGAUGAUUACCACCGGAGUACGAGGUUGACCGCCGCUUGUAGUACGAUGGAACAGAACAUGGCUUACAGAG